CCUACGGGAGGCAGCAGUGAGGAAUAUUGGUCAAUGGACGAGAGUCUGAACCAGCCAAGUAGCGUGAAGGAUGACUGCCCUCUGGGUUGUAAACUUCGUUUAUAGAGGAGUAAAACGAGGCACGUGUGCCUUUUUGCAUGUACUUUAUGAAUACGGAUCGGCUAACUCCGUGCCAGCAGCCGCGGUAAGACGGAGGUUCCGAGCGUUAUCCGGAUUUUAUGGGUUUAAAUGGAGCGUAGAUGGGUGAUUAAGUCAGUUGUGAAAGUUUGCGGCUCAACCGGAAAAUUGCAAUUGAUACUGGUAGUCUUGAGUACAGGUGAGGUAGGCGGAAUUCGUGGUGUAGCGGUGGAAUGCGUAGAUAUCACGAAGAACCCCGAUUGCGAAGGCAGCUUACUAAACUGUGACUGACACUGAGGCUCGAAAGUGUGGGUAUCAAACAGGAUUAGAUACCCUAGUAGUC
rnacentral:rRNA from 1 species